rnacentral:rRNA from 1 species
GCCUAACACAUGCAAGUCGAGCGGAAACGAGUUAUCUGAACCUUCGGGGGAACGAUAACGGCGUCGAGCGGCGGACGGGUGAGUAAUGCCUAGGAAAUUGCCCUGAUGUGGGGGAUAACCAUUGGAAACGAUGGCUAAUACCGCAUAAUGCCUACGGGCCAAAGAGGGGGACCUUCGGGCCUCUCGCGUCAGGAUAUGCCUAGGUGGGAUUAGCUAGUUGGUGAGGUAAUGGCUCACCAAGGCGACGAUCCCUAGCUGGUCUGAGAGGAUGAUCAGCCACACUGGAACUGAGACACGGUCCAGACUCCUACGGGAGGCAGCAGUGGGGAAUAUUGCACAAUGGGCGCAAGCCUGAUGCAGCCAUGCCGCGUGUGUGAAGAAGGCCUUCGGGUUGUAAAGCACUUUCAGUCGUGAGGAAGGUGGUAGUGUUAAUAGCACUAUCAUUUGACGUUAGCGACAGAAGAAGCACCGGCUAACUCCGUGCCAGCAGCCGCGGUAAA